rnacentral:rRNA from 1 species
GAUGAACGCUAGCGACAGGCUUAACACAUGCAAGUCGAGGGGUAACAGGGGAGCUUGCUUCCGCUGACGACCGGCGCACGGGUGAGUAACGCGUAUGCAACCUACCCAUAUUUGGGGGAUAACCCGGAGAAAUUCGGAUUAACACCGCAUAAUAUCAUUGAAUGGCAUCAUUUGAUGAUUAAAUAUUUAUAGAAUAUGGAUGGGCAUGCGUCUGAUUAGUUAGUUGGUGAGGUAACGGCUCACCAAGACAACGAACAGUAGGGGUUCUGAGAGGAAGGUCCCCCACACUGGUACUGAGGAACGGACCAGACUCCUACGGGAGGCAGCAGUGAGGAAUAUUGGUCAAUGGGCGAGAGCCUGAACCAGCCAAGUCGCGUGAAGGAAGACUGCCCUAUGGGUUGUAAAGCUCUUUCAGCCGGGAAGAAAUCGCAUGGGCUAAUACCCCGUGCGGAUGACGGUACCGGAAUAAGAAGCACCGGCUAACUACGUGCCAGCCGCCGCCGUAAGAC